UGGGGAAUUUUGGACAAUGGGGGCAACCCUGAUCCAGCAAUGCCGCGUGAGUGAAGAAGGCCUUCGGGUUGUAAACCGCUUUUGUCAGGGAAGAAACGCUCUGGGCUAAUACCCUGGGGUAAUGACGGUACCUGAAGAAUAAGCACCGGCUAACUACGUGCCAGCAGCCGCGGUAAUACGUAGGGUGCAAGCGUUAAUCGGAAUUACUGGGCGUAAAGCGUGCGCAGGCGGUUAUGCAAGACAGAUGUGAAAUCCCCGGGCUCAACCUGGGAACUGCAUUUGUGACUGUAUAGCUAGAGUACGGUAGAGGGGGAUGGAAUUCCGCGUGUAGCAGUGAAAUGCGUAGAUAUGCGGAGGAACACCGAUGGCGAAGGCAAUCCCCUGGACCUGUACUGACGCUCAUGCACGAAAGCGUGGGGAGCAAACAGGAUUAGAUACCCUAGUAGUCCCUGAGCGGGCUGGCAAGGCGCAU
rnacentral:rRNA from 1 species